rnacentral:rRNA from 1 species
AAUACGUUCCCGGGCCUUGUACACACCGCCCGUCAAGUCACGAAAGUCGGUAACACCCGAAGCCGGUGGCCCAACCCUUGUGGAGGGGGCCGUCGAAGGUGGGAUUGGCGAUUGGGACU